UCUUAAUUACACAAAUGCUUGGUGUGGACAGGAAGGCUCAUGUCAAAAGGUUUAAGCUUUGGGUUCAAUUUGGAUGAAUGCCUGAAAUUUAGUUCUGAACUAGUGGCAGCCUUUGAAUUUAUAAAUAUUAAUAUCCACCUGAGAUUCCAGUCCGAAGAAAAAGCAAGACUUUAUUCUGUUCAGGUUUCUGAUUUUCUGCUUGUCACCAUAGCAAAUGAGCCCUCUCCAGGCAAGCAGUGAGUGGUCUGACUAACAACCGUGUAGCGUUUAUCCUUCCUUCCCACUGGUUUUGGUGAGAACAGCAAAUGUCUAUCCAUUCAGGUCAAUGACUUUAAAAGGCAUUAGGUAUUUUUGAGGACAUUUGUGAAAUUCCAGCUUAUCUUUGGGAUUUGGCUGCUGCUGGCAUGGCGGUGUUAAUCGAAUGCAAGGCGUGAUUUCAGCAUCCAUUCACUUCCCUAAGUCAGAUGGGAACAUCCAGCCAUAUCAAAGCAUUUAUCCAAAGCCAGUGCCCAGGAUUCAAAGUGCUCAGAUCAGAUGAAUUAGUCUGAAAACAGCUAAAGGCAUGACAUUAGGACAGAAAUAAUACAUCUGUUAUGAUAAAAUUAUGGGAAAAGCUGAUGUGUUUUAGAACUCUGAGUUUGUUUCCAUCUCAGUACAAAAACAUUAUAGGAUUUAGAACUGAUAUCAAAUGUAAGUGUAACACUGGAUUUUGGGCUGGAUGUGCGAUAAUGCCAGGAAACUCAAAGGGGAUCUUUUUCAUGAAUAAUUGUUAGAAUUCUAGGUAGAGGUAUCUGUGCCAUGUGCUGCAUAAACAGAAUCUGAAUCACAGUCAUCAGUGCAGUAAGACCAUUGUCACUGCAUUCGGUACUUGGAAAGAAAUGGGUUAAGAGAUAAAACCUGCAAUUAUGGAAUCACAAAACAGCCCGAGUUAGAUGGGAUCUUGAAAGAUCAUCAGCUCCAUGCUUUCACAGGAAAUGGGAGCAUCACUAAGAUUACCUAGCACCCUCUUCUAUUGCACCUUGAUACCACAUGCUUCCCUCUCUCAUCUCAUGGCUUUUAUUUAGUAAAAACCUCUGUUUGGUAUUAUGUUAACUAUUAUAUGCCUCUUUCCUUGCAAGGGUUGUUUAGUGGGGUUGUGCAUGGAACUUCUCUCUUAGGAGAGAUCCAUACCCACGCUUGAGAGGUGGGGGGACCCAAAAGUCACCAUCAUAGAGUUAAAAUGGGCCAGAACCAUCUUGCUCAAGUGUGACGUUACUCUUCCUUUUAAACUGGGACUUAUUGUCUUCAUUUAAUUAAAUUUUUACCCAAGUCACCUUAAUCUUUUCAAAAACCUUUGAUAGGAUACCAAAUAGACAGAUGAUUGGAACAAUUACCUUCUCAUCUAGGGGGACUGUUGUGGCCUUCUUGCUGUAGGUAUUCUAGACAGUACUGUCCUUGAACAAAUGAAAUAAUUUAGAUCUUGUUACCUUUUAUUUGUUGUCUGCCCUGUUUACCUAAUCCUCAUCUUGUUAGUGUUGUCUUUAUAAUGAAUAAACAGCGAUGUUCUUGUUUUGUAUUACAUUUUUCUCUUAAAAUUCUGUGGCACUAUGUACCUGUAUGCUCAUGUGCAAUCUUCUACACUGAAGUUAUCUGUUGAUAUCCCUGCCAGAAUAAUCACGAUGACUGCAGAGGUGGGAAACACAUUAUUUGCUGAAUUCUUUCCUGUCACAAUCUCUGAAACGGUCUCCUGCAGCAGAGAAUGAAAAUAAAUCUGAAAUGUCUUGGAGUGGCACUGCCAGCCUAGUGAGUAGCAUCACUAGAAAAAGCUUUGCAGAGCUGUAUUACCCAACAGACAAAGAGUGAGGGAGUUUUGGGGAAGAAAUACCACUUCUGUUUUCUUACAUCAGCAUUGAAGUCCACUGGCGGAGCAGUAUGUGGGGGGAAAAACAUGCUGAUAAUGUCACUGCUACAUACAGGAAAUGGGGCAUGCUGUCAUGUGAUGGCAACCACCAGCAGUGCUCUCUAGCACUGACUUGAUGCCCCAUAGAUGCUUGUAUCCAGCCCUCUCCUCUUGGACAACUGGCAUCAUCUUAAGACUUCUUAUCUUUGUUAAAAAAAAAAAAAAAGUAGCUUGACAAACCAUUCAAACACUGCCUCUUCCCUGCCUUUGUACUUGUUUAUUCCCUCCUCAUUGUGUUUUUAGCUAAAGCAGAUUAUUGCAAAAUCCAUUUAAAAAACAGGGUAGUUUUAUACUGAAAGAUAUCUAGAGGGCAGCAAAUCCAGAGGGAAAUCUCAUCCUUCAGUGCAAACAAAACCUCCUCUUCUAUUUUAUUUCUGAAAAAAUCAAGCACAGUUAUGUAAAACCUUGUAUUUCUCUAUACGAAACAGCAAUCGUAAGAUAUCUCUAUAAGGCUGAGCUAUGAACAUAACUAGGAGCAAACUUGUAAUUUGAUUAAUGAUUACUGUGGUGGGCAAGGACUCUGAAGUUCAGGUGUGAGUUACGAAGAAACUGCUCUGCCAUCUAAAAUCGCAUCUGAAAGCAAAUGUAUUUUUAGCGUACUGCUGUGUGGUGUGGAAUGUUCCUGAGUUAUUUGUUCAUAAUUGUAGUGAUUGUGGAGAAUAUAUUUAAUAAUAAUUUGACAUUUAAUUCAAUGUUAUGUAGUGCUUCUGAUUGCAGUUCUGUCAUUCUUUGUGCUUUGUUCAAGUUGUAUCUGGCUAAACAGUAGGUGGG
ensembl:lncRNA